GUUGCUUCAUUUCCAUGAAAUGUAGAUACACUUAUUAUUUCUCAUUUCACUGAAUUUUCUUAUAGGGAAUGUAAGGGGCAAUCAGGUAGAGGAGGACAAGGAGCACCUCUCAUUGGAUGACAGUGACAAUUUUUAUCAUUAUCGCAGAAACUAUUGAUAUCACCUACACCUUUGUAACAUGACUCUAUGCACUUUUUUUCACAUUCAUUUGAUGAAUCUUCACAACCAAAUUUCUCAAAAACUGCUUCGCACAUGUCAUAAUCUGACUGAACAAAUUUUGGUUCCUCUGCUUCAACUAACAUAAAACACAAAAAAGUAAAUAAAUAAUAAUAAUAAUUAAAAAAUUGAUGGGGGAAAAUAUCAUACAUUACCUACUACACGUAGGUUAGCAUUUUACUCAAUUUCUAGUUUUCUUAAGUGUCUCGAAUAAAUAUACUAGAAAAAAUACUUUUAAAAUUCUAGAUUAUUAGAUACAUAGAACAAAAUUAACUUAGUUAUAGCUUUUCAGUAAAAAGGCUUCACAUUUUCAAAUUCCAUUAUUUUAUUUCUAUGAAGGUAAUUUAGUUAAGCAUUAACCAAACCUAUCUCUUUUUAUGGAAUGAACUAUCGUAAAGGACUUCUCAAUAUUUAAAAAAAAAAAACAUUCGAUUUAAGGAAAAGCAGCUUUCAAAUAAAAGAAAUUUUUAAUAUCAAGUCGUAUAUAAGAAAUAGCCAAAAAUACCUUUCUUUUAACUUGCUAACUCCCUGCAAAAAUGUAAGAAGUAAACUUAAAGAAAUUGCUAUUAAAUUUGUAGCCCUCUUAGAGCCCGUUUGCAUUGGCUUAAAAAAAGUAGCUUCUAAGCACAAGGGCUUAAAAGCAGCUUUUAAGUGCUGGACCUUGUUUUAUAAAUAAGCAGUUAUCUGUUUGGAUAAUAGUGCUGAAACUUAAAAAAAGUUGUUGAAGUGUUUGGUAAACAAGUGCUGGUAAGCACUUUUUUUAUUAAAAAGACAAAAAUAUCCUUAAAGCUGUUAAUAUUAUAAAGGAGCUGAUUACUAUAAUAUAUUUAAUUAUGAAUUAAUGCAAAUAAAAAAUAAUUUAUAUUUAAAUUUAAUUUCAAUUUAUGAGAUUAUUUUAGAUAAUUUUUAUAAAGUAGAAGAAAGAUACUAUAUAGUCAAGUAGAAUUGGUAGAAAGUAACGCAGGCGGAUCAGAAAAUGAUACUUGAGGAAAGUGCAGAAAAUGAAAGAGGAAGUAGAGAGGAAGAUGAAAGAAGAGGAACGGGUCUUCAGAUGUGAAGAAAAUAGGAGAAGAAAAUGUUUUGGGGUUUCUUUGAUUGAGGAUAAGUUUGAUAUUAUGAAAACUUAUAAUGGACAAAAGAGUAAUUUUAUUGGUCAAGCCAAAAUGGCUUUUAAGCCAAAAUUGAAAAAGUUGGGAUCAACCAACUCGUUGCUUUUGGCUUUUUUAAGCACAUUUUAACUUUUUUUAAGCAGUUUUUUUUUUUUUUUUUUUGCCAAACACUCAAUAUAAUUAAAAGUGACUUAAAACCUGGUUUGCCCAUCCAAACACCCUCUUAAUCAGUGGUGGAUGUAAUGUAUUAGCGACAUGUUCAGUUGAACUCAUAACUUUCGGUGCUGAGUAAAAUUUUAUGUGUAAAUAUUCAUUAGAAUUACAAAAAUAGUAGAUAUGAACUCAUAACUUUAAAAAUAUAAUGAGUUCGAUGUUAAAAACCUUAAAAGUUGAACAUAUAAAAUUUAAAUCUUGAAUCUGCAUCUGCUAUACAAGGGAUACUUAUUCCAUUCGACUAACAAACUGUGACGUUUCUGAAGUUUUUAAUCACCAAUUAGAGAAAAACUGAAAUUAUUUAUAAUUUGUAUAAAAUAGGAAUGCAAACUGUCACAAUUUAAAAAUGAAACUUGACAAAGAAGAUCGUAUAAACCAUAUACCUGAAGCCGCAACUAGUAAAACUAGAAGAACAGUACAAAUGAUUUUCAUUCUUAGGCAGUAAAUUUUACUGAUGAGAAAC
rnacentral:lncRNA from 1 species